rnacentral:lncRNA from 1 species
UAAGUUUAUAUAUAGAUAGCUAUUAAAUACAUUUGACACUAUAAGGAGCUCUCUCUGCUUCUCUCCAUAGAGAGAGGAACAUUUGUGAGACAGUACACUAAUAUGGGGUCAAUGUUUUAAAUGCAGAUUUCAGCUACAGAAGCUACACCAGUGACAACUAUGAAUAUGGAUAUGACAACAAGCUUGGAAUUACAAGGUUGACAUCAAUGGCUGUAUUAAUAUGAGACAAGAUGGAAACGUAGAUGGCAUGCAAGAGGGUAACCUGCUACUUCUUUCACAUGAUUUUGAAUUGGUCAGAGCUCCACAAAAUCUGCUCCAACUGAUGCCAAUGGCAGAAUGCCUCUUGAUGCUCAUGGGAGCUGCACUGGACCAGCCUUGUAUCCUUUCCACACGCUUACUGUUUUUCAGGUUUCCCUGGCCAAAAAUGCUGCAUCACUCUGCACAUCUUAAUUCUGUUAAUAAAAAAAAACUCAGAAGAAAGAAAUGCACAAGGCCAAGAGGAAUAUGGAACAAUCAGCAGCCAUUUUCCACGUUACAUGUGGACAACAGUAAAACUGCACAAAGAUUUCUGCAUUCCAUUUCCAUGAUCUAAUAUUGCUCCACAGAAUGAGUUCAGUUCCUUGGCUUGUGGCAAAG